CAGUAGCCACGGGAAUACAGAGGGUGCGAGCGUUAAUCGGAUUUACUGGGCGUAAAGCGUGCGUAGGCGGCUAAUUGAGUCGGAUGUGAAAUCCCCGAGCUUAACUUGGGAAUUGCAUUCGAUACUGGUUAGCUAGAGUGUGGGAGAGGAUGGUAGAAUUCCAGGUGUAGCGGUGAAAUGCGUAGAGAUCUGGAGGAAUACCGAUGGCGAAGGCAGCCAUCUGGCCUAACACUGACGCUGAGGUACGAAAGCAUGGGGAGCAAACAGGAUUAGAUACCCCGGUAGUCCCUGUCUCUUAUAC
rnacentral:rRNA from 1 species